GCCAGAUCAUGGCAGCAGUGAGGGGUAAAACCCCAUUACCAUUUGAAGGAUCGCACUUAACCUUCUACCAGGACCUCAUUAAAACUACACUUCAAUGGCGCAAAUCACUGCAGUCACUCACCAGCCGCCUGCGCUCCGCGGGGAUAACAUACAGAUGGGGCAUGCCAAGAUCCCUACUAAUAGUACACAACAGGACGACCCACAAGCUUACAACUGAAGCGGAGGC